rnacentral:lncRNA from 1 species
ACGCAGAAUGCGGCCACCUGUACCCGCAGUUUUUAUUAAUAUAUUUCCAUUUGGCACUCUACCCUCGAGGCGCCCGAGACUUCUAAGUGACCAUGAAAAUCUCUCUAAAAUUAUUUGAAUUAGUAAUUUUGGAACUCAAUAUGAGAUUCAGAGAAGCACAUUAAAAACAGGUCUAUACAUUUGAUACGGUUACUCACGGCAAUGGCUGGCAUGCUGACAUACUAGUGGAAAUAGAGUGGGUCGAGUUUGUGGA